CCGAAGCCUGUGGUCGUUUGAUCACUAGGCAAUGUGGUGUUCAGGUCGUUCCGCAGAGGUACUGCUCCAUCCUAAGUCCAUUAAUGAGUACGGCUUUCUGGACGUGGCCCGCAGGGGGUGACAGGCCCGUGGGGGUGGAGACUCGGCAGGCCAGUAUCUCUCUGGGUAGACCUUGGAGUCGGGUUGUUUGUGAAUGCAGCCCAAAGUGGGUGGUAAACUCCAUCCAAGGCUAAAUACAAGCACGAGUCCGAUAGCGAACAAGUACCGUGAGGGAAAGUUGAAAAGUACUUUGAAGAGAGAGUAAACAGUGCGUGAAACCGCUCAGAGGUAAACGGGUGGAGUUGAACUGCAAUCUCUGUGGAUUCAGCUGGUGAGUAUGGUUUGGGCUUGGCCAAAUGGGUUGAGCUGCGGGGUCUGCUUAUUCGCAGGUCUUUGUCUUCGGGCAGGGAUGCACGAUGCACCUACCAUGUGCUGUGCGCCUCGUGGUUUCGAAUCUGCUCGCUAGUGCACUUUCGCAGGGUGUUCACCACGACCGGCAUUGCUGUCUGGCUAUUGUGGUUAAACCGGUCUUGCAUUGUCCUUGUGGCUUUGCUUGGUCGGGACGGCAGGUAGCUCGUUGGUUGUUCGUAGCUUGCUGCGUUCGGCCUCGGGUGUAAUCAGCUGACUUCAAUGGUUCUGUGCAGUAUGUCGGGGACGGCGGCUUGUUGUGUGUGCGUGCGUGCCGGUCUCAUGGGCGUGCUCGGGUAUGACUGUCAUGUUGCUUGCGUAAGCAGGCCUGGUGGUUGCUCGGGUUUGUUCUGUGGGUGGUUGCGUGCGUGGCACUAUACAGGGCCAAUAGUCUGUGGUGUAGUGGUAGACGAUCCACCCGACCCGUCUUGAAACACGGACCAAGGAGAGUAACAUGUGCGCGAGUCAUUGGGCGAAACGAAACCCAAAGGCGCAGUGAAAGUAAAGGCUUGGCUUUGUCCUUGCUGAGGUGAGAUCCUGUCGUUUCUCAUGCGUGGUACUACCAAGCAUCGAGCGGUGGGCGCAUCACCGGCCCGUCUCAUGACGUAGACACAUAGUCUUCGGACCAGUGCACCGUCGGGGCGGAGCAUGAGCGUAC
rnacentral:rRNA from 1 species